rnacentral:rRNA from 1 species
AGUGAACGCUGGCGGUAGGCCUAACACAUGCAAGUCGAACGGCAGCACAGUAAGAGCUUGCUCUUACGGGUGGCGAGUGGCGGACGGGUGAGGAAUGCAUCGGAAUCUACUUUUUCGUGGGGGAUAACGUAGGGAAACUUACGCUAAUACCGCAUACGACCUACGGGUGAAAGCAGGGGAUCUUCGGACCUUGCGCGAUUGAAUGAGCCGAUGUCGGAUUAGCUAGUUGGCGGGGUAAAGGCCCACCAAGGCGACGAUCCGUAGCUGGUCUGAGAGGAUGAUCAGCCACACUGGAACUGGGACACGGUCCAGACUCCUACGGGAGGCAGCAGUGGGGAAUAUUUGACAAUGGGCGCAAGCCUGAUCCAGCCAUACCGCGUGGGUGAAGAAGGCCUUCGGGUUGUAAAGCCCUUUUGUUGGGAAAGAAAAGCAGCAGGUUAAUACCCCGCUGUUCUGACGGUACCCAAAGAAUAAGCACCGGCUAACUUCGUG